AUUGAACGCUGGCGGCAGGCUUAACACAUGCAAGUCGAGCGAGUGGCGGACGGGUGAGUCAUGUCUGGGAAACUGCCCGAUGGAGGGGGAUAACUACUGGAAACAGUAGCUAAUACCGCAUACCAUCGGAUGUGCCCAGAUGGGAUUAGCUAGUAGGUGGGGUAAUGGCUCACCUAGGCGACGAUCCCUAGCUGGUCUGAGAGGAUGACCAGCAACACUGGAACUGAGACACGGUCCAGACUCCUACGGGAGGCAGCAGUGGGGAAUAUUGCACAAUGGGCGCAAGCCUGAUGCAGCCAUGCCGCGUGUGUGAAGAAGGCCUUCGGGUUGUAAAGUACUUUCAGCGAGGAGGCGUUACUCGCAGAAGAAGCACCGGCUAACUCCGUGCCAGCAGCCGCGGUAAUAC
rnacentral:rRNA from 1 species